GACGAACGCUGGCGGCGUGCCUAAUACAUGCAAGUAGAACGCUGAAGGAGGAGCUUGCUCUUCUGGAUGAGUUGCGAACGGGUGAGUAACGCGUAGGUAACCUGCCUGGUAGCGGGGGUUAACUAUUGGAAACGAUAGCUAAUACCGCAUAAGAGUAGAUGUUGCAUGACAUUUACUUAAAAGGUGCAAUUGCAUCACUACCAGAUGGACCUGCGUUGUAUUAGCUAGUUGGUGGGGUAACGGCUUACCAAGGCGACGAUACAUAGCCGACCUGAGAGGGGGAUCGGCCCCACUGGGACUGGGACACGGCCCAGACUCCUACGGGAGGCAGCAGUAGGGAAUCUUCGGCAAUGGCCGGAAGUCUGACCGAGCAACGCCGCGUGAGUGCAGAAGGUUUUCGGAUCGUAAAGCUCUGUUGUAAGAGAAGAACGAGUGUGAGAGUGGAAAGUUCACACUGUGACGGUAUCUUACCAGAAAGGGACGGCUAACUACGUG
rnacentral:rRNA from 1 species